UCUUCCAUCUAUGAUGGCCAGGACCAAGCUGUGGCUCAGUCAAGGUGCACACUCAAGACAAAGGCAGAAGAAGUGCUUCAAAGAUGUCCUCAUGACUAACUUGAAAAAAAUGCAAAAUUGACAUCAACUUAUGAGAAACUAUCGCCUAGAACUGCCCCAAAUGGUGGACGAGUCUUCUACAAGCAUCUUAGUACUUUGAAACCUCAAGAUGGGAAGAAGAGACAGAAAAGCAGGAGUGGCAGAAACAGCAUGUCACAGACUGAUCCAAAAAUCCAAAGCCACCCACCCACCACAGAAAUGUGCUCAAGUUGCAGUGGAACCUGUCAAUCCUAGAUUGGCCUUGUCAGCUACCUUCAGAACCAAAAAUAAGGCAAUCACAGAAGACAAUCAUUCUUGACUGUGAGGGUUUGCCAGUGAUGAUGAUCACUAGAAUGACAAUAAAUAUGCCUGCUGGAUGUGGAGGUAGAGCAAUACUUGUUCUUGAGCUUAAUUGACAAAACUCCUCACGAAAACAAGCUAUGUAUCUCAUCAAACUAUUCUUGCAAGUGAAAUGUUAAGUGAAAAAAGGUAUAAAUAAAUAAAUAAACCCACCUAAAUUUC